rnacentral:rRNA from 1 species
AUACGUAGGGGGCGAGCGUUGUCCGGAAUGAUUGGGCGUAAAGGGCGCGUAGGCGGCGCGGUAAGUCUGGAGUGAAAGUCCUGCUUUCAAGGUGGGAAUUGCUUUGGAUACUGCCGCGCUUGAGUGCAGGAGAGGUUAUCGGAAUUCCCGGUGUAGCGGUGAAAUGCGUAGAGAUCGGGAGGAACACCAGUGGCGAAGGCGGGUAACUGGACUGCAACUGACGCUGAGGCGCGAAAGUGUGGGGAGCAAACAGGAUUAGAUACCCUGGUAGUCCACACUGUAAACGAUGAAUGCUAGGUGUAAGAGGUAUCGACCCCUUUUGUGCCGGAGUCAACACAAUAAGCAUUCCGCCUGGGGAGUACGGCCGCAAGGUUGAAACUUAAAGGAAUUGACGGGG